GCGGGAGCCGAAAAUGGUUAAGCUUAACUCUCUUAACUUUUCUCAUUCAUUCUCUAUGGUAGUUCUUAACACUACGGAUGUAAUUUACUUUUUCACCACUAGCGGGAUUUUGGGGGCGCUGUUUCCACAUCGCCUUAGUAGUAAGGAUUUUACAGGAAGAGCCUUCAGGAAGAGAAAACAACAACAAUCCUGCGGCCAGAUUUGAUCCGAUCGCUGUUAAAACACAAGAGCACAACAAGUUAAAGUCAAGUUAAAGUCUGAUGUAAGUAAAAAAAAAUGUACAAGACAAAGUAUCUAAUCUGAAGACAUUUCUCUUUCCGUCAUUGUUGAACAUGAAACUCCAGCGGUGAGGAUAACAGCUGGAUGAGAAGAAUGUCUAACUAGAAACUUUGAGCAGUUUUGUGUGUGUGUUUGUGUGUGUGUUUUCAAAGCCUUUUUUUUUUUUACCCAAGGUAGUGUGGAGGUGAACAGGGGUUACAUUACAUUUUCUAUGCUAUUUUUAUAAUGCACAACAGGGGUUACAGUACUUUAUGAUCAAUUUAAUGGAUUAUAUGUAUGCAGGUAUAUUGCAUAGCAGGAAUAUGCAAAAUUAAAGAUUUGAGGAACUGUUUAGCUGAAAGAUCAGUGGAGCCACCUUCAAGUAGUGAGGACAACCAGCUGGUUGGAUUUGGUGUGCAUUCUAAGAAGACCUGGAGGGAUGUCUGGUAGAGAAGAGAAGAUGGAUGUGCAUCAUUUAUCCUCAGGAAACAGUGGGUUUCAGGCAGCAAAACGUUCCUGCUCCAGCAGUACCUGAAGAAGAAAGAGGCUCAGACUCAGAGCUCUUCAGAACCUGCUCUUCCUAAACCUUCUUCUAGUCUUCCAGUGUCUUCUUUAGAGAUGGAAGAUGAUGAAGAGUUGGAGAGAAUGAUGCUCUAUGUCUCUCCAUCCAAACUCCUCCCUUUACAAGAGCAGGGACAUGUAGUGAAGAAGAUGACAGGACCAACGUGUUUAGAAACAAUCCCAACCCAGCCAAGUUCACUGAGUAAAGGUCUAGCUGCUGCUGCUGCUGUCGCUGGUACCUGAUGGUUCUGUCGUAAACCAGGAUCACCUUUUCCUUUCCUCUGUUUGCUGGUUGGCCACGUUCUGUUCUAAUGCAGGUGUUUUGUGUGAUUGCUUUUGUGAUGCUGAAGGUAUUCAUUGUUCGUCGUUGAGGGUAAAUUCAGAAAUAUUUUAUUUGCAUGAGUUUCUCAUGAAAGUGAUUGAAAGAAACCAGUCUUAAAAAGCAGAAUUACAACAAAAGUACAUGUCUUAACACGUCAGAGUAAAGUGGUUACACAUGGAUUAUUACAUCAUAAUGGUACCUUUCCUGGUCAAUCAAAAUAUUAAAAAAGGAAAAUAAUUAUUCAUUUAUUGAUUUUCAUACCACACCUGUUCUAUUGAGCAUGUUUUCUUAGAUGGUUUUGAGUGUUUUGCACAAUUACUAACAAAGAACUCUAAAUACUUUGGGCUUUAGUGAUGGAUAUUUCUGUUGAUCUGAAUCCAGACCAGCCUGAGAAGUCCAGCUGUCCUGCUGCUACACAUGCAGUUUCUUCUGCUCCAGUGAAGACUCCGAUGCCAGUACCACCAGAGUUCCUCGCCUUGGAAAUGCCUCAAAGUGUCCAGGAUAAAACCUACACAGUCGUUGGAAGACCCUCAGCUCAGUCUGCAGCUCCUCCUCCUGCUCACUUUCAGCCAACGCCUGCUGCUUCACCACUUCCAUCUUAUGACCAAGAUGUUAGAAGCUGGAACUGAUCUCCCCAGCAGAGGAUCUGGAUGAAAACAGAGAUGGAGGCCUUAGGACUGUGGCCCGGGUGUCCACCUGUGAGACCUGCAAUGAAUAUGAUCUGCUUGUGGCGUAUCCCACCUCAGAACAUCAUUUACCGUAAAACCUUUGGAGACCCAGCAGCUGUGGUAUAAACUCACUCAAGGAAGUGAAACUGUCACUGUGCCAGUUGUGACUCUCCCUCAUGCUUAAACCAGACGAAGCUCCUCUAACUCAGACCGACGUUGAAAUAAUGGUGAAGGAGAUUGUAGGUCUGCAGCAACAACAGCAGAAACCUGGAAAAAAGAUGAUACACAACUGUCUUGCUUGUGGGCAGCCUUGUUACUUUGAGGAUGGAUCUUCUGUUCAUUUAUCUGUCUGGGGAUGUAAAAUACCUCUACUGCUCCAAAAAGGUACACUAGAUCUAUGCAGCAGAAGUCCUUACCAACCCCAGAAUCCCAUUUGCAGACUUUGCUGUCAGUCCAUUUUUUGACAGAGAGUUAAAGGCUGCAUUCAUGGUCACACACUGAUUAUGAUAGAACUCCUGAUUUUAUCCUUCAAUGUGAAAAUAUUUGUAAUUUAGUUUGUGAAAUCUAUUUUGUGAAUACAAUUUUCUUACAGUUUUGUUCUUGAAUUGUUUAGAAAAAGCAACAAUAUUUACUUCUACCUCAAUUCAUUUUACAUCUUUAAAUUACUUGUAUUAAUUUUUGCAUAUUUAAAUCCUUCUGCCCUUUAAUUGUAGAUACAUGGUUGAACGUUUUGUGUUAAAUACUGUUUAUUUAUUUAUUGCUUGUUGAUAUCUUAAUAAAGCAUGGUUGAAAUUGAAAUGACUGUUUUUAGGCACAAGGAAAGAUGGAAGUAGAAAACAAUAAUUAUGAAAUGUCAUUUUCAGUUUAACAUUAAAACAUUUAUUAUA